CAGAACGACUCUCGGCAACGGAUAUCUCGGCUCUCGCAUCGAUGAAGAACGUAGCGAAAUGCGAUACUUGGUGUGAAUUGCAGAAUCCCGUGAACCAUCGAGUCUUUGAACGCAAGUUGCGCCCGAAGCCGUCAGGCCGAGGGCACGUCUGCCUGGGCGUCACGCA
rnacentral:rRNA from 5 species